AACGAACGCUGGCGGCAGGCCUAACACAUGCAAGUCGAGCGCCCCGCAAGGGGAGCGGCGGACGGGUGAGUAACGCGUGGGAACGUACCCUUUUCUGCGGAAUAGCCCAGGGAAACUUGGAUUAAUACCGCAUACGCCCUUCGGGGGAAAGAUUUAUCGGAGAAGGAUCGGCCCGCGUUGGAUUAGGUAGUUGGUGGGGUAAUGGCCUACCAAGCCGACGAUCCAUAGCUGGUUUGAGAGGAUGAUCAGCCACACUGGGACUGAGACACGGCCCAGACUCCUACGGGAGGCAGCAGUGGGGAAUCUUCGGCAAUGGGCGCAAGCCUGACCGAGCCAUGCCGCGUGAGCGAUGAAGGCCUUAGGGUUGUAAAGCUCUUUCGCCAGGGAUGAUAAUGACAGUACCUGGUAAAGAAACCCCGGCUAACUCCGUGCCAGCCGCCGCAGUAA
rnacentral:rRNA from 1 species